GGCUUGGCUUGGGAUGAAGGCGGCCCAGGGCGCAGGAGCUCGCUACUAAAGGCGUUGUGCUCGUUACUGGAGAACAGAGCAGCGGCAGGAGGCAGCGAACAAUGGCCGGCGCGCGAGGUGGGACUUGGCAUGGCGGAACUCGCCGGGUCCGGCCGUGGGUGGCGCUGGACGCCAACAAUCGGAGCACCCUACACCGCCUUUCUGCCUCUGCUCCUUCUUUCCUCCGCGCGCCUGAGCUCCUCGUUGUACGCCUCCCGGGAGGGCUCGCGCUCGCCGCUCGACCAGAGCCACCGCCAGCCAGUCGUCGUUGCACUUGCCGGCGACCCCUCCGCCCCCUCUGCACCACCCUCCACCUCAACUUUGGGUGCACAUGUGUUUGUGGAUGCUCUCGGUUAUUUUUUGCACACAAGGUGUUCGUGUGUUUGUCCGAGCCAGCUUCUGUCACAAAUCCUUGAGGUAAACUCCCACAUGAAUACAUCAUGAGGGUAACUCUCCUUCCAUAUGAUUCAAAACAUGGUAAUCGGGUUACUAGAAUAAUGGUUUGCUAAUUAAUUUACAUCAUGUGGAGUUUCAAGACACAUGGGUACGCCGGCUCCUAUUGCUUGACAAAUGUAUAUCUAGAGAUUUUCUUUAACCGUAUAAAGAAGUUACAGUUAGGUGUUGCCUUUUUUUUAUGCCUAGACACAUCAGCUUCAAUAAGAUCUGGGUGCUCAUGGUGAGAUAUAUAUGCAUGCAUGUUGUUUUUGCUGCGCCUUUUUUUCUUUUAUCUCUGCUGCACCUUUUUAGUUUUAGUUGCUGUUUACCUCCAUCCGACUGAGUUGAGCUAUCGGAGGUGCUGCAAUGUUAUGGUUUGGCAUCUACAGGAUGCCAUCUCAGGUCAUGGAUCCACUGUAGCCGCUUUGUCCUUCACUGAGGACCUUCUCAUCCCCCACAGAGAUCAGAGGUAACCCAUGCAGUUGGAAAUUGAUGCUCAAGUUCUUGCUUCAACAAAUUUUGUUCCGGGUAUAAUUUAUGGCCAUGCCAUGUAUUAAUUAUUAUUCUUAUAAUGGUCAUCUGAAUUUGCAGAGAAAAUUAGAUUUUGGAAGCAGGAAUCCUUACCUCAUAAGAUGGAUGAGCUGUAGGAUUUAAUUCUGUUAAGCUUGAAUUAGUUUUUGAUCAUCAUGUUCCUUGUAUUAGGAAUUCAUUCAUGCCUUCCAGCUCUAAUUUUUUCAUAUUGUUGGUGUAUGCUGGGAGUCACAUUGUGAAUGCUAGCAAACAUUAGGAUUGGGAGUCUUACCCUGUAGGUUAUUAAUAUCUUUUCCACUAUACUUAGGUUCAACAAUUUAAUUUGUAUUAAGGUCACACAAGCAGUUUCGUUUUCAGAUUACAUCUCCAGGACGGCGACGGUGAGGUUGCAUCUCUGCUGCCGUUCCACCCCCAGCCCCUUCUGCCUCUGUCCUCCUCCCAGACCUUGGAGCAGAAGCCCGCCUUGGUGUCACCCGUCGCCGACUCGGAUCAGGAGAAAAAGGGCCCGAUCCACACCUGAAUUGCAAAUUACCAUGCUUGAAAUUAUCUCGCCAUUCUAAAAACUUCGCCAGAACGCCAACCACCCAUGCUCUACCUGAGGUAUGCCAUUUUACAAUCUAAAUCUCCAGAUCACAUGCCAAGAUAAAUGGGACAUGUCUAAUAUGUUCAAAAUUUCGAAAGAGCAUGAGUUUUGAUCAUAACUUCCAUUCCAUCGUUGUUACCUUAGGUUCUUCUUUUACCAUAUGUUUGGCAAAGAAAAGUGUUGUGUAUCUUAUAUUGUUGGAAGAAAGCUUUGAUGCGUUAAGAGAACAAUUAAUGAUGAACCUCCACCAGGACUUAUAUUAACUAUUGCAUAUGAGAGUAAAGUAAAUGACCGACAAAGGAAAUGUUUCACACAUAGCACUUCAGUGUAGCUGAAAUUAUUACUAACUAGAUACGCCCUUUUACUUAAAGUCUUAUACCAAGCUUUGCUGACUGUAGCAAGCUGAAGGAUAGAUCAAAUUUAUCUUGUUGUUUGUCUGUGUGCUGCAAUAUCUUUUGCAAUGACUAAGCUGUAAUUCUGUACUCGGGCGGUUUAAACCAUCUCUUCAGCUGUCCUGCUUUUGGAAAAAGAGCAGCAGCUCUGUUGAAUACCCAAGUUGAUCCAUUUUUACAUUAGUUGACCUCAUAUCAUCUAUGUAAGGUUUCAGUCAAGCUUUUACUAACGGCCUGAUGUAGAUAUAAUCAUACUGCUAAGUUCUUAUAAUAAUGUCAUCACAAAGAUGUUCUGUUUGUUUGGUUAAUCAUAAUGCUAAUUUUCUGUAAUUUUUUCAUCUCGUCAUUCUACCGACUUCACCGGAACACCAUCACCUGUGCAACAUCGACUUCACCGGAACCCGUGUUGCCGCUCCAAUCGGUACUCAUCGUUGUCCUGGCUAGAUGUGAUCAGCUUGAUCCAAUCAUAGUUGGCAGUGGCGUGGCAUUUUAGCUUACAAUCAGUUCGGGUACUGAUUGGAGCUGCUCUAGAUUCUGAUGUUGGGCUCAACCUGGAUAGGUGGAAUAGGUCGUGGAUGUGGUGGCUGCUUUCUCCAAUUAAAUAAUCCAUAGAGUUGCACCAUAAGAUGGAUUAAUUACAAGUGGCUACAUAAUUCUUUGUUUGCCAAGCAAAUGUCUAUGCUAUUUCCUACAAGAAACUUAUGUUUGCUCUGUUUUCAUUUCUGUUGGUAACAUCAGUGCUUUUCCAAGAAUUGUUUCUUCUUACCAACAGGGAGGUUGGUGUGUGAGGAUGUUGUAUUUAGAUGCUUUCUAGAUUUUGCACAAGCUCAGCAAAGUAAUAUUUCUGAUUUGGUCGUGUUGGUAGCCUCGCAUUGUUGUAUUACACUGAGCUAUCUUUUUGUUGGUUCUACGAUCUUUGUCAAAGGUUGUGACAUCUUCGAAGAUGUUUGGUUUAAGAAUCAGCGUAAUUUUAGAGCAGCGAUUUACAUCUCCCUAUUUAUGUUUUCAUGUGCACGGUCAUAGCCUUAAUUUGAUACGUUUAAUUGAUAAUGUAAGACUUAUUUUUUUGCAUAUUGUAUUUCUUGCUUCAUAAGUUGACAAAGCUGCUCUAUACAUUUUGUCCUUUUUCUUGUUAUGGGUGAUCCUUUUGUAUAGUUUAUCUGAACAAUGGUAUGCUUCUCUAUAAGAUGCUCUUGCAGUUUCCUGUCAACAGGAUACUCUUGUUGAGUUAUUUUUGUGUGUGAACAGUUCAGGAGCUUUUCCCUGAACUGAGUGAUCUAGAGGGAUGCUCAAUUCGCUAUGGACGAAGUGGGAGGUCGAAGGCAACAACUGAAGUUAUAUUUGCAAGGCGUGGUGAUGUUGUUGCUGUGACGAGGAACGGUGUCCUAUGAAAAUGCAGAUACUUGGGACUAACACUCUUGAUCGAGCUACACUACCAACCGAUAAUGGAAGGUAUGCUAGGAAUGCUGCCAAGAGGACACUAGGACUGCAGCUUAAUUCCUAAAUCUACAUUUUAAGGAGAGGGUGGACUUUUUGAGUAUACAGAAAGAAGUUGAAGGAGGACAACCACAUGGUCACUAAUUGUAGUGCCUGAGGGAGUAGCACAGGAUCUUAUUGCCAAAAGUAUACUUGUACCGAAAAAGGCUUUCGCCCCGCUUUAUAUAUAAAGCACCGAUCAACAAGCAUCCAGUAUAAACACACGCCACCGCAACACACGCACACACCCAGAGCAGGAUACAUAUGGGCUGAGCGCAGCAAUGACACGUCUCCAAUGUAUCUAUAAUUUUUUAUUGUUCCAUGCUAUUAUAUUAUCUGUUUUGGA